UCUCCGUUGGUGAACCAGCGGAGGGAUCAUUACCGAGUUUACAACUCCCAAACCCCAAUGUGAACAUACCUAUUCUGUUGCUUCGGCGGGAUCGCCCCGGGCGCGGCCGAGAGGCCAGCCCCGGACCCAACGUGCGCCCGCCGGAGGACCCAAACUCUUCUGUUUCUCACAGCGGUUAUCUUCUGAGUGGCCCCAUCGCGGGCGAAACAAAAAAUGAAUCAAAACUUUCAACAACGGAUCUCUUGGUUCUG
rnacentral:misc_RNA from 1 species